GACGAACGCUGGCGGCGUGCUUAACACAUGCAAGUCGAACGGAAAGGCCCUGCUUUUGUGGGGUGCUCGAGUGGCGAACGGGUGAGUAACACGUGAGUAACCUGCCCUUGACUUUGGGAUAACUUCAGGAAACUGGGGCUAAUACCGGAUAGGAGCUCCUGCUGCAUGGUGGGGGUUGGAAAGUUUCGGCGGUUGGGGAUGGACUCGCGGGUUAUCAGCUUGUUGGUGGGGUAGUGGCUUACCAAGGCUUUGACGGGUAGCCGGCCUGAGAGGGUGACCGGCGACAUUGGGACUGAGAUACGGCCCAGACUCCUACGGGAGGCAGCAGAGGGGAAUAUUGCACAAUGGGCGGAAGCCUGAUGCAGCAACGCCGCGUGCGGGAAGACGGCCUUCGGGUUGUAAACCGCUGUCGCCUGUGACGAAGCGUGAGUGACGGUAAUGGGUAAAGAAGCACCGGCUAACUACGUG
rnacentral:rRNA from 1 species